UCUAGACCACAUAUUAAAUCUAACGCUAUAUAAAGCUGUGAAAACAAAAGAAAGGCAAGGCUGAAGCGCAAAAGUGCGGCGAAGAAAAAAUGAGUUACAUGUUAGCAACGUUGUCACAAAAGAGAGAGGUCGAUUCCAUCAUCAGAGACACCAUUGAUAAGGUUCUUGUCCUCCGCUUUGGUCGUGUCUCUGAUCUUAUUUGUCUUCACCUUGAUCAAAUUCUUUCUAAAGCAGCAAGAGAGUUGUCCAAAUUCGCAACUGUGGCAUUGGUUGAUGUUGACUCUCCUGAAAUCCAAGUCUAUGUCAAAUAUUUCGACAUCACUUUAAUUCCAUCUACGGUGUUUUUCUUCAAUGCUCAUCACAUGAAAAUGGAUUCCGGUACUGCAGAUCAUACUAAAUGGAUCGGUGCUUUUCACAAAAAGCAAGACUUGGUUGAUGUGGUAGAGACAAUAUUUAGAGGAGCAAUGAAUGGAAAGCUAAUUGUGAAUUGUCCUCUCCCAACUGAAAGAAUACCAAAAUAUCAAUUACUUUACAAGAAUGUCUAAAAAUUACGCCCUUUGUUUGAGAGUUUGAAAAAAUAAGGAAGGAUAAAGUUGAAAGAAUUGAAGAAAUUUUCACGGGAGAGCUUUGGAUGAUUUACUUUCCUCCUAAUACAAAAUCCCUCUCUAAUUUAUCUAUUUUUCUCUCGAAAUUACAUAUACCAUUAUGAGUGCAAGAUCUUUAAUCAUCAAAGCAAGUUGAUCACAAAUGACAGCUAUAUCUCUUCUACACAAAUAUAAUUGCAACGAGUGAUUCCUCUACUUACAAUGCUAGCUAUAAAUGAAUUGAAGUCUUAUGGACAAAAUGAACUCAAAAUUCGGGUGCAUGUAAAAUUAUUAGUUUGAAAUGAUGAUUUAAAUGAAAAAUAUUUUUGAUGCAAUUGUCAAAAUAAAU